ensembl:lncRNA
AGCAUAUAUCCUCGUGGACAGAAGGCAUGUGAGAGAAAGUUUUUCUCUCUCUUUUUGGCUCUGCUGGGUCUUCGUUGCUGUGUGCCGGUUUUCUCUAGUUGCUGCGAGCAGGGGCUUCUCUUCACUGGGGUGCGCGAGCUUCUCACUGCUGCAACUUCCUUUGUUGCAAAGCACGCCCCAGGUGCAGAGCUUCAGUAGUUGUGGCACCUGGGCUUAGCUGCUCCUCGGCAUGUGGAACCCUCUGGGAUCAAGGAAACCACAUCCACAAAGUCCCAGGCCCCAGAAGCAGGCACCCUCUGCCCAUUUCUGAAAUAAGCUCUCAGGCCUUGGUGGUAGCCUGAGCUGCUCCCAGGGUUGUGAGCUGCUGAAUCUUCUGGCUCAUCAUCUCUACGACAGCCUGUUUCACGGCAUGCUUCUCCUGCAGAGCUGGCUGGAUUUUUUCCAUUUGCUUGCAGGGUGCUCUAGGAAGAACCCAGCAUCACUACUGUGAAAUUCUUGCCUAAAGUGCAGCAACUUAAUCUAGUCAUGAGGAAAUAGCCAACAAAUCCGAGUGGAAGGAUGAUCUGCAAAGCAACUGGGACUCUGCUCUUCAAAAAUGCCAAUGUGAGAAAGAAAGAGCCAGAAAACAUCCCAGAUCACAGGAGACCAAAGGGACAAGAUGACGGAAUUCAAGCAUUGCAUUGUUUAAGAUAAAAUCUUAAUAAGGUCUGUAGAUUAGAUAGUAGCAUUAUUUUAGUAUUAACCUCUUUAUUUUUGAUCACUGUCCUGUGGUCAUGCAAGAAAAUUUAAGAAAAUACAAACAAGUAUUUUGUAAAAAUAGGGAGUAAAAGAUCAUCAUAUCUAAACUUACUCUUCCUGAUAGCUCAGUUGGUAAAGAAUCUACCUGCAAUACAGGAGACCCUAGUUCAAUUUCUGAGUAGAAAAGAUCCACCGGAGAAGGGAUAGGCUACCCACUCCAGUAUUCUUGGCCUUUCCUUGUGGCUCAGCUGGUAAAGAAUCUGCCUACAAUGUGGGAGAUCUGGGUUCGAUCCUUGGGUUGGCAAAAUCCCCUGGAGAAGGGAAAGGCUACCCACUUCAGUAUUCUGGCCUAGAGAAUUCCACGGACUAUACUGUCCAUGGGGUAACAAAGAGUCAGACAUGGCUGAGAGACUUUCACUUUUGCUUUCAAAGUUAUUCUUAGAUGGGCAUUAGAGAACUUUCUGGCUGACAAAAAAGUUCCAUAUCUUGACUGCAGUGGUGGUUACAAGGGUUAUAUAAAUGUAUUUAUUUGCCAAAUGUCUCAAACUUAAGUGCAUGAAUUUUAUUGUUUGUAACCAUGUCUCUAUAAAUACAGCUGAUUUUAAAAGCUGCUGUUCACUUUGAUAUUGCAUAAGAUUGUUUGUGAAAUAGUUACAUAAGUAAUAUGGACUAAGUUCCUGUUGUUUUUUAUGUGUACAGUUUCAAAAUGAUUGAUUGAUUGAUUGCCUGAUGCAUGAAAUUCAAUAAGACUGUCA